rnacentral:ncRNA from 2 species
AUUCUCAGGGCGGGGUGAAAUUCCCCACCGGCGGUAUACUUUAAAUUUAAGUGAGCCCGCGAGCGCUUUAACGUUGGUUAAAGGUCAGCAGAUCUGGUGAGAGGCCAGAGCCGACGGUGAUAGUCCGGAUGAAAGAGAAUA